GCCCGUCUAGCUCAGUUGGUAAAGCAUAAGACUUUUAUUCUGAGGGUCGUGGGUUCGAGCUCCACGGUGGGCA
rnacentral:tRNA from 1 species